CAGUAGCCGCGGUAAUACGUAGGGUGCGAGCGUUAAUCGGAAUUACUGGGCGUAAAGCGUGCGCAGGCGGUUGUGUAAGACAGGUGUGAAAUCCCCGGGCUUAACCUGGGAACUGCGCUUGUGACUGCACAGCUAGAGUAUGGCAGAGGGGGGUGGAAUUCCACGUGUAGCAGUGAAAUGCGUAGAGAUGUGGAGAAACACCGAUGGCGAAGGCAGCCCCCUGGGCCAAUACUGACGCUCAUGCACGAAAGCGUGGGGAGCAAACAGGAUUAGAUACCCGGGUAGUCCCUGUCUCUUAUAC
rnacentral:rRNA from 1 species